rnacentral:rRNA from 1 species
AGAGUUUGAUCCUGGCUCGGGAUGAACGCUAGCGACAGGCCUAACACAUGCAAGUCAAGGGGCAGCGGAGAGGUAGCAAUACCUUUGCCGGCGACCGGCGCACGGGUGAGUAACACGUAUGCAAUCCACCUGUAACAGGGGGAUAACCCGGAGAAAUCCGGACUAAUACCCCAUAAUAUGGGCGCUCCGCAUGGAGAGCCCAUUAAAGAGAGCAAUUUUGGUUACAGACGAGCAUGCGCUCCAUUAG